UGUAGGUUUUUCUUUCCUAAGGGUUAUUCUUGGUCUGUGCAGGCUCGUGUCUGUUGGAUCUGAAGUCACAAGGCUGCAGUGCCUGUGGCAGGCCCUAUUCUCUGUGGCACAGCGUCAGAUAUACUAUGCGCUUGUUAGAGCCAGAGCACCUCUGAAUCUGCUGUGUGUCCAGUGCUGUCUGGAGUGUCAGACAAUGUGUGGAGCUCCCAACGGCAGCGGGAAAAGCCCUGGAUGUCCAUGGCAUCUGCCAACUGACACUCGGCCCACAGUGGAAAUUCCUUAUCCCUGCUCUGGAGUCUGUAUGUGUGUGUUUUAAGUCUAAGUGGAGUGACA